rnacentral:rRNA from 1 species
CAGUCGCCGCGGUAAUACGAAGGGUGCAAGCGUUAAUCGGAAUUACUGGGCGUAAAGCGUGCGUAGGCGGUUUGUUAAGUCUGUUGUGAAAUCCCCGGGCUCAACCUGGGAAUGGCAAUGGAUACUGGCAAGCUAGAGUGUGUCAGAGGAUGGUGGAAUUCCCGGUGUAGCGGUGAAAUGCGUAGAGAUCGGGAGGAACACCAGUGGCGAAGGCGGCCAUCUGGGACAACACUGACGCUGAGGCACGAAAGCGUGGGGAGCAAACAGGAUUAGAUACCCCCGUAGUCCCUGUCUCUUAUAC